CUCUGUGAGACCUAGAGCACCUGCCCUGCCUCUGUGAGACCUAGAGCACCUGCCCAGCCUCUGUGAGACCCUAGAGCACCUGCCCAGGCUCUGUGAGACCCUAGAGCACCUGCCCAGCCUCUGUGAGACCCUAGAGCACCUGCCCAGCCUCUGUGAGACCCUAGAGCACCUGCCCGGCCUCUGUGAGACCCUAGCAUGCCUAUCUAGCCUAUGAGAGAAUCUAGGCGAAUGUCCAGCCUCUGAGACCUUACGUGCCUAUCCAGCCAGCAGAUGCAUAUGUAGGGUAACAAAGCAGAGACUAUGAGAACAGCUCAGGACACCCAUGGUCCUUCUUCAGGAACAACUUCACACAUGUCCAUAGCAUGGGUGGCUUCCACGAAGCCCAACACUUCUCUGGUUCAGAGGAUUGGGAUAUGGACAUCUUUGAGAACUCCUAUUCUGCCUCGACCUAUAAAGAGAAGGACCUGAUGAUUAGCCAUGGUUUUCAUGAGGUCAUGAAGAACUACAACCCCAGAGAAUGAGGGAACUGAAAGGAAGAUUCCCAGCAUGGAGGCUGUACAGCAGAGUGUCUCCAAGAAAAACACCACUGGACACCAGCGACAUGCACGUGAGGGUUAAGCGCAUGAGUGCACUUGAGUGGAUGCCCAAGUCAAACGCCGCGGCUGUGUGUGCCAGUCCUCUCU